rnacentral:rRNA from 1 species
UACAGAGGGGGCAAGCGUUGUUCGGAAUUACUGGGCGUAAAGGGCGCGUAGGCGGCCUGCUAAGUCGAACGUGAAAUCCCCGAGCUCAACUCGGGAACUGCGUCCGAUACUGGCAGGCUUGAAUCCGGGAGAGGGAUGCGGAAUUCCAGGUGUAGCGGUGAAAUGACGUAGAUAGUCUGGAGGAACACCGAUGGCGAAGGCAGCCCCCUGGGAUAACACUGACGCUCAGGCACGAAAGCGUGGGGAGCAAACAGG